CACACGGCCUCAGGGGAGCACCUGGGUCAGACGAAGGGUGCGUCUGGACCAAGGACAUGGGCAGCAGCUUCUGGGCAGCAUGGAGACGGGGUGGCAGCAGAGUGACAUCGGUGUGAGCUGGGCAGGUGCCGGAGCGUCCCCUGAGUCCUCUUCACCACAGCCCCACAUUCCCAGCUUCCAGAUGGGGAAACCGAGGCAUGGAGUGGCUUCACGCCAUCCCCAACGCCCUGUGGCCCAUAAAAGGCAGAGGGGUUGAGCCCAGGCACCCACUUGCUUUUCUACUUCCUGCCUUGAGUUGAGGCAGCAUGAGGCCCUCACCGGAAGCUGAACGGGCACCAGCAAGCACCCUGCUCUUGGACCUCCAGAAGCUUGAGACAACCUAAACCUGUUUUCUUUAUUAA